UGUGGCACAGCAGGGGACGGUAAACCAGCACAGCAAGAGGAGGGAGGCAGAGGUCCCUCGUAUCCUGCCAACGGCGGACCCAGUGACCCCCGAACGCACGCUACCGACGGACUCAAACAAAGAACAAAAACAACGUGACCCGCCCGCACAAGCCCCGCCCUUCGGGGCUGCCCUGAGUCAGGAUUAGUUUCACCGAAACGCAGGCACGGGGGAACAGGAACGCCAAGAGGGGACGCUUCGAAGAUGAUGUGAGGAGGGGCAAUGUGGCACUUGGCAGACAGAUUCAAUACGGGCACAUUUUGGACCCUUGGGGAGCUCCACUUCAUGGCAGAUGCGCCGGGGGGGUGGUGGUGGGGGGGGGGGGGGUGGCAGACAUAGGUUUGGAGGGGACCGUUGAGAGGGGGGCACGUCGUUAGGAUAACUCUCCUGCCUGUGGCCCAUCUCCCACUGAGAUAACAAGCUGCAGACAGUGACCCAGAACAAGGAAAUGAUCAGCAUCUCAUCCUGGGCAUUAAUGCAUGAAGGAGCCAACAUGCUAUUCCCUGUGAGCUGUAGCCGCCCGCAACACAGAGGAGCCAUCGAAUACAGACAAGGCCUGGAGAUAGUGGGAGGAGACAUGGACAAGAUUUCCCUUAAAACAAGUGACCUUCAGCUUCGUGAAUCACGGCUGCCAGAAAACUAGCACGGCACAGGACUCUGAGAUCCGGGAGAGGAAGUUUGCUGGUGAAAAGAUACUGCAGAGGAUCACGAGCUAAGAAAACUGUACACCAACUUGCAGUGGAAGGAUGGUUAUUUACUUCAAAAGGAGUCAUCCUUCGUGAAUUUCAUUCAGUUUUUUUGUCACUCCAAUAAUAAGAGCCACUCUUUAUUUCCAAUGAUUACUAAGAGCUUAUAUAGUACGUCUGCCUAUCAUGCCUGUCUAUCAAGUUCCCUUGUCCACCUCCACCUGUGAAAUCCCACGUGUGAAUUUCCAUACAUGAGGGACAUUCUCAUCUUACCACCUGGAGGGUUACAGCCCCGUCUUCCGUGCCACACAAUGGGAAGGCCCGCGGUGAGACGGCUCAACUCGAGCUGGGGAGAUUUACCUGGUUUCUGUGCUCCCUCACUUUCUCAUGCUCCUGGCAUGCAGUGCCAACCAAUCAGAGGGAGCAUAUUCAUAAGAAGAGCAGCUGGAAAGUUUUGGAGUUUGGGAGGGGGGUUUGUUUUGGGGGAGAAGUGGGAAACGAAAGAACGUGGGAACGUGGGAACAUAAGAGCGUUCAUUAAGGAGAACCAUUCACCCCACAGGCACGUGGGCUUUGGCCAAGGAACAACAAAAGUGGAGCAGUAGUGGACAUUGAUAGAAGGUGCAAUGUGGCUGGCAGGAGAAGCCUUAGAAAUGGGGCAGCACCAGUUUAAGAAAGAUGUGCCACCAUGCGUCCAGAUGGCCAGUAAACAGGAUCUGGUUCUCUCUUUCCCCUUGUCCACUGCAGUGGACAUUGCAAACAGAUGACAGGCCCAACCAGCACAGGGCUGAGAGCCAUCCAGUUGGGAGAAGACAGGAGAAUGACGGGGGAUAAGGAGAAUGCUGUCGGAGGAGGCCCGGGCCGGUAAGGAGCUGAGAAAUGAGGUUAUGGAGGCAGCAAAGGCGUUUAAGUGACAGGAGCUGAGCGGGAGUGAGCGAUGCUGUAUGGAGAUAAUGGUUAUGGGGAAGAGCUAUAUGGGAAAACCAGAGGGAAGAAAGAGUGGAGAGCGAAGGCUAAAGUGUGGGAGGACCCGAGUGAAGAAGGAAGCAGAAUCGCCUGUCCCAGACAAGGUGAAGUCAUCACACGAAGGUCAAUGCCUGUUUUAAGACCACUCCACUCCCAAUGAAUUACACUCUAAUGGUACUGCUCUCUCCUUGAAUUUACAUUGAGUCAUUUUCCUUAACAUUUCAAGUCCUUUUAACAUUCUGCUCAUAUUAAUUUCUUAUUCAUAACCAACACCCGUGAUACUGUAUAGUCAAGGGACUGCCAGUUAUAUAUGCAGCAGUACACAUUAGUGGUAACAGACAGAAUUGGACGUGCAAGGUAGAGGUUGUAGGUUUGAAUCCCAAAUGGAGCAUUGCUGCUGUGCCAGCAAUUAUAGUAAAGGGGGGGAGAAAACAUGUCACACCUGAAUGUUGAUACCCUGUCAGACAGACAAAGGAGCAUGGUGAAAUGUGCGCAACUGCCGUUUGCAAUAGCUCGCUGUACAAUCUGUGUUCCAUUAUGUGCCUGAUGUCAUAUCACAAGGUCUACCUUUAAAAGCAAAAAAUAAAUAAAAAUAAGCAAAAACAUCCCUGUCUGGCACAGGGCCCUCACAGAUGCAAAGUCCUGUGUGACUGCUCUAUUCGACCGCCCUUAGUGGCAGGCCUAAGUGCUUGGUCAUUUCUGAAAGAGGGAGCAACAGGUUUGUCACCCUUAAUCUAAGGAUCGGACUGUGCACACUUUCUCCUCAACUGACCAGAAACAAUUGUGGGUACAGUAAAGAUCCUAUCCUAUCCUCUACAAGGUUCUGAAUUCCAUAAUUAACAAAACUACAACCAGGCUCUCCAAGACCCCAUUAUCAUCUAAGUCGAGCCAAGAACAUGGAAAGGUUUGGCAAAAGCCUCUUGUUGAAUGACAAUCUAACAUACCCAGGUAUCCCCACAAGAGGAAAAGAGGACUUGUUCAACCUAAAACUGACAGCCAUGACCACACCUCUAGGAUACCAUAGCAUGUCAGGUUUUUGUCACCCAGAAGAAUUGUACAUGGGUAUUUAUAUGGUUCCAGAGACUUCCAUAUUCAGGAACCAAAUUUUAGAAACCAGAAAAGUCUUUUACAUGUCUGGGUACGAAUAUAUGGCUUUUAAAGCAAUGCAUUCAAGUAUGCAAAUGGUAACUUCGCUGCACCAAUGACUGACUUAUCUAUGGAUCCUCUAAUGUAUCCAUAAUCUCCUCAUAGUGGCUCUAUGGCCUGGCCUGUGAACUUGAGACAAAACAAAAUAUUACAUUUUCCAAAUGUUUGAAUGCAAUCACUAAAAUUCAUUACUUGGAUCAGCAAUCACAUUUGUUAAUAUCCAAAAAAAAAAAAAAAGUAAGAAAAUUAAUUUUUUACUCUCGCCAGCAUUUGUGAAGAGCCAAAGUAUCUGCAUAAAACAAAUAAUUCAUUAAUUGUUUCGAUAUUUCCUGUCCGACUGAAUGAAUGCAGAUGACUUUGCAGCAAAUACUAUGCAUACAGGAGAACAUAGGAGUUUCAUUUCGUGCCCAGGGGAGGGGGAGAAAAAAAACAAAAAACCUUCGGAUCACUCAAAGUCUGGGAGUCAUCAAACAUUUCUUUUUCAAAUCAACCAAAAUGCACAACAUAUAAACACAACUGUGUCUUCUGCUAAAAAAAAUGCAACAUCGCAAAAAAGGAGUACAUAGAGCGGGGUGCGCGACAAUAUUGCAUCAUAAAAUCUAAAAAACAAUCUUAAAGUUGUCCUUUUUUUUUUUUUUUUUUUUGUAAAAACCAAAGCAUUUCCAGCUCCUGGUUAAACACCUCACUCAUCCAUUGAAAUUAAAGGUUCUCAAGCCCAGGAUUAAUUAGCCUGAAUGUAUGGUUCUUCAUGUACUCCUAAACAGAAAGCACGCUGACCGAACGAAGGCAUCGACCGUGCAGUAACUAACAGUAACAGCCAACACAGAGAUUUGUCAUUGUGAAGCAAAUACCAAAAACAAUGUCAAACGUUAUAAACAAACUGUUUAUGUAUUGCACCAACCACACCCUAUCAAAAAUGAAUAA